AAUAUUGGACAAUGGGCGAAAGCCUGAUCCAGCCAUGCCGCGUGAGUGAUGAAGGCCCUAGGGUUGUAAAGCUCUUUCAGUGGGGAAGAUAAUGACGGUACCCACAGAAGAAGCCCCGGCUAACUUCGUGCCAGCAGCCGCGGUAAUACGAAGGGGGCUAGCGUUGUUCGGAUUUACUGGGCGUAAAGCGCACGUAGGCGGAUUGUUAAGUCAGAGGUGAAAUCCCGGGGCUCAACCCCGGAACUGCCUUUGAUACUGGCAAGCUCGAGUCCGGAAGAGGUGAGUGGAAUUCCGAGUGUAGAGGUGAAAUUCGUAGAUAUUCGGAGGAACACCAGUGGCGAAGGCGGCUCACUGGUCCGGUGCUGACGCUGAGGUGCGAAAGCGUGGGGAGCAAACAGG
rnacentral:rRNA from 1 species